CGGGCCGGGGCGCGCCUUCCCUCCGCUCCCCUGCGCUCCCCGGGGGUGCCUGGCCCGUCCGGGACCGUCGGAGGCCGCCUGGCUUCGGGAGCAGCCGCUGGGGCCGGGGCCGAGCCUCGGUGUGCGCGGUUCCGGCCCCGCGGAGACCCCGCUGGGGUGCAGGGGCCUGACAAUGGCACCGUCCCAGCGUGCCGGGGGAGAGCGGCUGCCAGGCGGGAGCAGCACAGCGCAGCCCCGUGAGCUCUGCUGCCGCGGCAGAAAACAACUAAAAUCACUGCAGGUGCCCUUUCCUAGGGACGUCCUUGCUCAUCUGUUUAAUAGUCUGCAAGAGCAAUAACUUCACACAGAAUCACAGAGCAGAGAUGGAAGGGACCCAGAGGGAUCAUUAAGUCUAGCUCGUAAGUGAGUGGCCAUACAGGGAUCAAACAGCCACCUCGGUGUUAUCAGCACCCUGCUCUAACCAACUUGCAAGUAUAUAUAUUCUUUAAUGAAAAAUCACGUUUAUAUCGCAUGGUAGGAUUUAUAUUUUUUCCCUCUUUUACCUAUAAAGGUCUUUUCAAGAAAUGCAGGUGCAACUAUAGAAAGAAACUAACGAAGCACCACUCAAAGUUUUUUUUAAUGCAGUAUUUUAAUAUAUUCCUAAAUAUUCAAGAUUAAAUUAAAUUCAGACAGUCCCCCUAAUGCUCUUCGGAAACAGACCAAGGCAAAACAAUGGGCUUUUGAGAUAAUCUGUCAACCUCAAAACUAACAUUUUUAACAGCAAGAUUGUUGCAAAUUCAUUUGCAUUUUUCUUCAUAUGCAUAUUCUAAUUAACUAUUGAUCACAAUUAUGUUACUAUUCCAUCAUCAGAUUAAAAACUCACCCAUUUUUCUUUUUCUGUUCUUUUAAAGAAGCAACAGCAGGAAGUUGUUAAUUAACUUGAACAGACUCAACUCAAAUUCUUAAUUACAACUGGUUAGCAAUUUUACUUAAAAGUUUCUUCUGGUAGGGGGGAAAAACCACAACUUUUGUUGAAAGUUUCAUUGGGAAAGACUUCUCAGCUUCCAGAUGGAAUUUCUAGUAAGAACAAGUGCGAUAAUGACUCUGAAAUAGUCUCACUUGAGAUGUGGGAGUUUCAGGUUUGUGCUCCUGCUUUGCCUGUUCCAGGCCUUCCCACGUCUUGCAGAAAUAGACUAAGGAUUGGAAUAGAAAGCUGGUAUCUGGUUUUCUAGACAAAUUAAAAUUUAACUAUUUGUCAACCCAAAUGCUCCAAAAAAGAGAUUGAUGGAAAACUUUUCUUGUUCCUUUUCUUCUGCAAAAUGUCCUCUGUUUCACAGUAACUAUUUCCCAAGUGCCUAUGUAUGUAAUACUGUUAACACCAAAUAACCGUAUUUCAUUUUCAUUUUAUGUUGUAGCAACUGUGUUCAGAAGCCUUUAAUGCAACACUGUCACACAUUUUGGAUUUUAUUGUUGCAACUGAUUUAAGCAGUUACAUAUAUUGUAACCGUGCCCCAGCCUAGAAAUCUGACAGAAAUGAGUUAAGGUAACUUGUAUAGCAAAUAGGAUGUUUUAAACCAUCAGCUUUGGAAGUACCACAUGACUUCAGGGAUGACAACAUGAAAAGGAAAUACUUCACAUUAAUAGGUAAUCUCUUAAAGACUCUCCGUCCUCAUUAAGUAAAUGAGACUAUAGAAAGAGUAGAGCCUUGGCUGCCACAAUAAAGAAAUGGAGUGUAGCAGGCUGGUACAAAAGGUUCUGUUCAACAGAGGCUCAUCUUACCAAUGUAUGAACUGGUUCUUGACUCGACAACACUUCAGAUCUGGUCUUAAUUAUUCAGUUAAAGGUGAGCUGGCAAACCUCAGUGCACUGGUUUAGUGUGUUAGUCCUCCCAGCUACUACCCUUCCUCAGUGCUGAAAGUUUCUGUUCCUGUAGAAGCAGCAAAGCUCCAGUGCAAAGCCCUAACAUUUUAAGACAGUUUUAAAAGCAGUUGUUUUGGUGGCUCCUGGAACCUGGCUGCUCAUGUCUGUGUGUCCUACCUUGUGCUGGUGCAAGUGGCAAAACUCUUGAAACACAGAGUGAGUUAAAUCGCCCAAAGAGAAACAUUAAAAAUGGAUUAACUGGAACACAGCUGGGAGGACUUUUCUAGGCAGCAAGGCUGGCUUAACUGGUUCCCAGCCUUGGCUGCUCAUUCUGACUCCCACACUGUUCCGUGCCCCCUCAGUUUGACAACUGUCAUAUUGAUGUCUAAGCAAGUUGAGAUCACGGAAGCAGUCUCAGUUACAUGAACAAAUAUAUCCAAACCCCUUCCAAUAUGCAUUGUUUCAUUCUGGCCCAUUUCAGGGACUCAGUUCAUUGUCUGGUCCCUGAACAAUUGUGCUGAUAAUGCUGCCAGGGGAAUUAUGAGGUGCGUGAAAGGGCAGGAGAUGGCACCAUUUUAGCCACUUGAGGAAGAAUAACUUGAGAUUACAUGCUCAGGAAAACAGUCACAUUGUAAAGUGACAAGGGAGCUCAAAGCGUCAUACUGUCUAUUUUUGGGCAUCAUUAAGAGAACAACAAUAAGCAACCUCCACCCAAGGCCAGUUCCAAGAAGGGGCUCACUCCACGUUCUGCAGCACCGCCCUGAUGCCUGCCAGAAUCUGCUAUCAGCCCUUACCAGAAAAGGAGUGCCCGUCUCCAAAAUCCUGCACUUCUAUACAACUCUCCAGUCUUCACUUGGUAACUUCCUUCAACCAAGUCAAAAAAACAAGAUAUGUACUUUCUCUCUGACAGGCCUCAUUUCCCAGAAAUAUUUAUGGCUUCGGGAACUGACUGAAUACAGUAAUAGAAUUUGGCCAUAGGUACAAACAGCUGCUGAGCACAUGUCGGCUGCAAAUCAGGAGAAAAUUUCUAGUACUCAGACCAAUGAGGAGCGGGAAUAACCUCUCAGAAAAAUUAAUAAAGGCAAAAAUCUAAUUACUCUUAAGUUAGAGCACAGUUAUGAAAGGAAUUAUACAUCAGCAGGGUCCCUGCGGUUUGUUUCUCCUUACAUCCUUUAAGGAAUGUUCAGAAAGGCAUAUGAGACUUCCUAUAAGCCUGCCUUAAUGGAGCUAUUGAAACGGUGUAAAGAGCUGUGCAGUGACAGAGAAAGAGAAAAGCAACACAAUGCAAACUUCUGCCUUUCAAAUAUCUGAAGCCAGAGCACGGAACUAUGCAGUUCAGGCUUCCAGCGUACAUGGAGACAGCCUCUUGUCUGUCACAGACCACCAUACCUGCAUUGUAUGGCUUUGGC